rnacentral:rRNA from 1 species
UACAGAGGGGGCAAGCGUUGUUCGGAAUUACUGGGCGUAAAGGGCGCGUAGGCGGCCUUCUAAGUCGAACGUGAAAUCCCUGGGCUCAACCCAGGAACUGCGUCCGAUACUGGAAGGCUUGAAUCCGGGAGAGGGAUGCGGAAUUCCAGGUGUAGCGGUGAAAUUCGUAGAUAUCGGGAGGAACACCAGUGGCGAAGGCGGCGAUCUGGGAAGAUACUGACGCUGAGGUGCGAAAGCGUGGGGAGCAAACAGG